rnacentral:rRNA from 1 species
ACUCAAAUGAAUUGACGGGGAAGUGCACAACCAGGGGAGCAUGUGGUUCAAUUCGAUACGAAGCGAAAGACCUUACCCAGAUUUGACAUGCUACCGUUUAUUCUGUCGGAAACGAUGGGAAAUCAGCAAUGAUGGUAGCACAGGUGUUACAUAGCUGUCGUCAGCUCGUGCCGUGGGGUGUCGACUUAAGUGUCGAAACGAGCGCAACCCCUACUCUGUGUUCAAUAGCUCACAGAGAACUGCCUCGCAUACAGCGGGGAGGAAGGAGGGGAUGAUGUCAAGUCAGUAUGAUCCUUACAUCUGGGGCCACACACAUCCUACAAUGGGGAGGAACAAUGGGUUGCCAAGCGGUAACGCGGAGCCAAUCCCAGCAAAACUCCCCCCAAUUCAGAUUGAGGGCUGCAACUCGCCCUCAUGAAGACGGACUUGGUAGUAAUCGCGGAUCAGCAGGCCGCGGUGAAUACGUUCUCACUUCUUGUACACACCGCCCGU